CCUACGGGAGGCUGCAGUGGGGAAUAUUGGACAAUGGGGGGAACCCUGAUCCAGCCAUGCCGCGUGUGUGAAGAAGGCCCUCGGGUUGUAAAGCACUUUCAGUGAGGAAGAACGCCUGGUGGUUAAUACCCAUCAGGAAAGACAUCACUCACAGAAGAAGCACCGGCUAACUCCGUGCCAGCAGCCGCGGUAAUACGGAGGGUGCGAGCGUUAAUCGGGAUUACUGGGCGUAAAGCGCGCGUAGGUGGCUUGAUAAGCCGGUUGUGAAAGCCCCGGGCUCAACCUGGGAACGGCAUCCGGAACUGUCAAGCUAGAGUGCAGGAGAGGAAGGUAGAAUUCCCGGUGUAGCGGUGAAAUGCGUAGAGAUCGGGAGGAAUACCAGUGGCGAAGGCGGCCUUCUGGACUGACACUGACACUGAGGUGCGAAAGCGUGGGUAGCAAACAGGAUUAGAUACCCGAGUAGUC
rnacentral:rRNA from 1 species